GUUAGUGUGUAAUAACUCACAAUGAAGUAUUAGGAGUGCUCUAGCAUAACACAAAUUGCCGCUGAUCCAGCACUCCGCAACAUUUUUGAGAAAGAAACAUGACGCUACAUUCAGUGCUCAUGGCAGUUUUUAUUGUAACCUGUUUCGUCACCAUUGAAUCCAAAUUUCCUCUUAUCGGAAAACAGGCUUACAAUAUUCGUAAGUUUCUCUCAACAGAUGAGCCCUUAUGGACCUUUUAUACAACUGGGCCCACCAGACGAACAUGUGAGGUAGACCUGAUAAAAGACUUGACAAAGUAUCUGUAUACUUUACCCGGAUCUUUUUUGAUGGAACUGCAAGGAGUUCAAAGAAAGAAUUGGGAACCUUCGAUUCACGUCGAAAAAAACACAUGGACAUUUAUAUUCCAGGCAUGGCUGCAUUAUGACUCCUUUGUUCGUUUCGUGUAAUUUAUACCGCAUUUUCUAACAAGGAUUAUUGAUAAAAUGCACGAAAUUGGUGUUCUUAAGCAACUCGAGCUGCGUAGUUGACACUUCUCUACUAUUCAAGAGUUAUAAGUUAUGGCGAAGUGGCUGCCAUGCAGGAGUGCGUCUACUAGUUCCCAGAAAGUGUUUCAAAACAAAAUUGAGAGAUCCUAACCUUCGCGUGCAAGAGAUGAAUGUGAUAGCGAUAUCCUGUUUCUAGUGCGUACCGAGUUCAAAAUGGCUUCUGUCCGUGAAGUUUUUGGGUGCAGCUGCAUUUUUGUAAUUGGUAGCAUACUUUAAACCAUGGGCAAUAGUGCGUGCUAAAAUUUUUCGAGUUUGCUGCGCACCCACUAAGGAGUCUUAAGG